rnacentral:lncRNA from 1 species
AGUCUCUACCUCUCUUCCGUCAUCACUCUUCCGCCUCGGCAGUCGGCGCCUCCAGCCUCCACUCUCCCUUUUUCUUGCAUUCAGCUCUCCUGUCCGACUGGGAUACAAAGGUAAGUAAUCUAUCUCACUUUGAUCUAUGUAAUCUUGUAUUUGAUUAUGGUGAUUUGUGACUUGUGAGUUUAUGCUACUGGCAUUAGAUAAGCAAAUUGGGAAUUUGGGAUUGCAAAACCCAUUAGCUUUUUCUCCAUUGAUAU